rnacentral:rRNA from 1 species
AUACGUAGGGGGCGAGCGUUGUCCGGAAUGAUUGGGCGUAAAGGGCGCGUAGGCGGCCCGGUAAGUCUGGAGUGAAAGUCCUGUUUUUAAGAUGGGAAUUGCUUUGGAUACUGUCGGGCUUGAGUGCAGGAGAGGUAAGUGGAAUUCCCAGUGUAGCGGUGAAAUGCGUAGAGAUUGGGAGGAACACCAGUGGCGAAGGCGACUUACUGGACUGUAACUGACGCUGAGGCGCGAAAGUGUGGGGAGCAACAGGAUUAGAUACCCUGGUAGUCCACACUGUAAACGAUGAAUGCUAGGUGUAGGGGGUAUCGACCCCUUCUGUGCCGCAGUCAACACAAUAAGCAUUCCGCCUGGGGAGUACGGCCGCAAGGUUGAAACUCAAAGGAAUUGACGGGG